UACGUAGGGGGCUAGCGUUGUCCGGAAUCAUUGGGCGUAAAGCGCGCGUAGGCGGUCAGGUAAGUCCGGUGUGAAAGUCAUAGGCUCAACCUAUGGAUGCCGCUGGAAACUGCCUGACUUGAGUCCGGAAGGGGCGAGUGGAAUUCCUGGUGUAGCGGUGAAAUGCGCAGAUAUCAGGAGGAACACCAAUGGCGAAGGCAGCUCGCUGGUACGGUACUGACGCUGAGGCGCGAAAGCGUGGGGAGCGAACAGG
rnacentral:rRNA from 1 species